rnacentral:rRNA from 1 species
UACAGAGGGUGCGAGCGUUAAUCGGAAUUACUGGGCGUAAAGCGUGCGUAGACGGCUAUCUAAGUCGGGUGUGAAAGCCCCGGGCUCAACCUGGGAAUUGCAUUCGAGACUGAAUAGCUAGGGUGCGGUAGAGGGAAGCGGAAUUUCCGGUGUAGCGGUGAAAUGCGUAGAUAAUCGGAAGGAACAUCAGUGGCGAAAGCGGCUUCCUG